GCAGUACCACUGUAUUGCCCUGGCUUAAAUCAUUGCUGGACUGGAUUCAAAUAAAAGAUUGUGUUAUUUAUUAGCUGUGACGUCAAUGUUCAAUAACCAGCCCAGCAAGAAAGGAACCCAAGGCUUUUCGAAUUACAACUCCUUCUGACAGUUACAGAUUCUCUGCAGCUAUUAAUCAUCUCACAGAUGGUUUAAAGCCACCAGUGUCUUAAAAUUAAAGUAAAACAAGCAGAACAUUGCAAGAACAAAAUUCUGGGACUCGGAUUUCAUGAAAAAAUAUAGAACUGCGGAAUGUACUAGGAACAGAACUGCUUCUCUUUGGUGCUGUCAGUGGCCGCAUGGAAACAAUCAAUCAAUUAAAAAACACACAAUCAAUCAUACCCCCCCCCAUAUAUCUCUCUGUGGGCCUGCUGAGUCAUAAUCGGUUCCUUGAGGCUCCUGCAUUGUCUCCAUUCGGGAUGGUUGUGAUUUCCAUAGAGAAAAUUGAGCCCAGAAAGAGAGGCC